GAGAUGAGGGAAGGACUAAACCCAAAACACCACAAGUAUCAUACAACAUACAUUGCACAUGCGUCCCUAUGCGAGAACCUGAGGGAAGCAUACAAGAUGCUAAGUUUGAACUUGGAUGCUACGAAUCCAAAUGUCCAGCUAGCUCAUUCAAGGGACAGGGUACUGCAUUUCUAUAUUAUCAAAAUGUGUGGUAUACCAAUCCAAAGCAUGGUUUCCCUUCUACAAAUCCAAUAUUGAUGGGGUUCUACAUAAUCACUUAGAGUCGUCAUAAUUCACAUAUUAUUGCAAGGAUUACAGCAUGAUGUAUCCACCAAUUUCCAAUAUCAUGGCCAUCUAAUCUCCAAGGCCAUUUCAGAUCGGUUCGUAAAUCAGUUCGGCAACUCCAAGUAUUCGCACUCGUUAUCCACCAAGAAACAUGGUAUUAUCAUCGAGAUCAUCGGGCUAAAUCCAACUUACUCCGAACCAUGUGGUCUCUCUCAUCAUCGAUACUCUAUUAAGAUUACCUUUUUAAAUCCAAGACUCAACUCCAAUGAGAAAUCUACUCGAUACUCCAAGUCAUUAUGGUAAAAGCAUCAAAUCAUGCCAACUACUUAAUAAAGUCAAUUAUACCACCAAGAAUUAUCUCUCGUGAUCAUAAUCGUCCUACUGAAUCCAACUUACUCCAGGAACAUGUAAGUCAUGCUACUAUAUCAACUUGUUCCACCAAGUUACCCUACCUUUAUAAGGGUCUUACGAUCCACCAAGGUAGCCUAGCUAU
rnacentral:lncRNA from 1 species